rnacentral:rRNA from 1 species
GCAAGUCGAGCGCAGGAAGCUAACCGAUCCCCUUCGGGGGUGACGUUAGUGGAAUGAGCGGCGGACGGGUGAGUAACACGUGGGCAACCUGCCUGUAAGACCGGAAUAACCCCGGGAAACCGGGGCUAAUGCCGGAUAAUCUCUUCUCUCUCAUGAGGAAAGAGUAAAAGAUGGCCUUUGGCUAUCACUUACAGAUGGGCCCGCGGCGCAUUAGCUAGUUGGUGAGGUAACGGCUCACCAAGGCGACGAUGCGUAGCCGACCUGAGAGGGUGAUCGGCCACACUGGGACUGAGACACGGCCCAGACUCCUACGGGAGGCAGCAGUAGGGAAUCUUCCGCAAUGGACGAAAGUCUGACGGAGCAACGCCGCGUGAACGAUGAAGGUUUUCGGAUCGUAAAGUUCUGUUGUGAGGGAAGAACAAGUACCGUGCGAAUAGAGCGGUACCUUGACGGUACCUCACGAGAAAGCCCCGGCUAACUACGUGCCAGCAGCCGCGGUAAUACGUAGGGGGCAAGCGUUGUCCGGAAUUAUUGGGCGUAAAGCGCGCGCAGGCGGUUCCUUAAGUCUGAUGUGAAAGCCCACGGCUCAACCGUGGAGGGUCAUUGGAAACUGGGGAACUUGAGGACAGAAGAGGAGAGUGGAAUUCCACGUGUAGCGGUGAAAUGCGUAGAUAUGUGGAGGAACACCAGUGGCGAAGGCGACUCUCUGGUCUGUUUCUGACGCUGAGGUGCGAAAGCGUGGGUAGCAAACAGGAUUAGAUACCCUGGUAGUCCACGCCGUAAACGAUGAGUGCUAGUGUUAGGGGGCUUCCACCCCUUAGUGCUGAAGUUAACGCAUUAAGCACUCCGCCUGGGGAGUACGGCCGCAAGGCUGAAACUCAAAGGAUUUGACGGGGG